rnacentral:rRNA from 1 species
UACGGAGGAUCCGAGCGUUAUCCGGAUUUAUUGGGUUUAAAGGGAGCGUAGGCGGGUUGUUAAGUCAGUUGUGAAAGUUUGCGGCUCAACCGUAGAAUUGCAGUUGAUACUGGCAUCCUUGAGUACAGUAGAGGUAGGCGGAAUUCGUGGUGUAGCGGUGAAAUGCUUAGAUAUCACGAAGAACUCCGAUUGCGAAGGCAGCCUGCUGGACUGUAACUGACGCUGAUGCUCGAAAGUGUGGGUAUCAAACAGG